UACGUAGGGGGCUAGCGUUGUCCGGAUUUAUUGGGCGUAAAGAGCGUGUAGGCGGCCAGGUAGGUCUGCUGUGAAAACUCGAGGCUCAACCUCGAGACGUCGGCGGAAACCAUCUGGCUAGAGUCCGGAAGAGGAGAGUGGAAUUCCUGGUGUAGCGGUGGAAUGCGCAGAUAUCAGGAGGAACACCAAUAGCGAAGGCAGCUCGCUGGGACGGUACUGACGCUAAGGCGCGAAAGCGUGGGGAGCGAACAGG
rnacentral:rRNA from 1 species